rnacentral:rRNA from 1 species
CGGUAGAUUUGGUAGCAAUACUGAAUUGAGAGUGACGUAAGGGUGCGUAACACGUAUGCAAUCUGCCCUCAACAGGAGUAUAGCUCGGGGAAACUCGGAUUAACCCUCCAUAAGAUCACACGAAGGCAUCUGAGAGUGAUUAAAACGCAAGUGGUUGAGGAUGAGCAUGCGCAUGAUUAGUUAGUUGGUAGGGUAACGGCCUACCAAGACGAUGAUCAUUAGGGGAACUGAGAGGACGACCAGCCACACUGGAACUGAGACACGGUCCAGACUCCUACGGGAGGCAGCAGUGGGGAAUUUUGGACAAUGGGCGCAAGCCUGAUCCAGCCAUGCCGCGUGAGUGAAGAAGGCCUUCGGGUUGUAAAGCUCUUUCAGCCGGAAAGAAAACGCAUGGGCUAAUACCUUGUGUGGAUGACGGUACCGGAAGAAGAAGCACCGGCUAACUACGUGCCAGCAGCCGCGGUAAUACGUAGGGUGCGAGCGUUAAUCGGAAUUACUGGGCGUAAAGCGUGCGCAGGCGGUUUUGUAAGACAGAUGUGAAAUCCCCGGGCUUAACCUGGGAACUGCAUUUGUGACUGCAAGGCUAGAGUACGGCAGAGGGGGGUAGAAUUCCACGUGUAGCAGUGAAAUGCGUAGAUAUGUGGAGGAAUACCGAUGGCGAAGGCAGCCCCCUGGGUCGAUACUGACGCUCAUGCACGAAAGCGUGGGGAGCAAACAGGAUUAGAUACCCUGGUAGUCCAUGCCCUAAACGAUGUCAACUAGGUGUUGGGGGAGGAGACUUCCUUAGUACCGCAGCUAACG